rnacentral:rRNA from 1 species
UACGAAGGGGGCUAGCGUUGUUCGGAAUUACUGGGCGUAAAGCGCGCGCAGGCGGCUAUCCAAGUCAGUGGUGAAAGCCCGGAGCUCAACUCCGGAACUGCCAUUGAAACUGUUUAGCUUGAGGACGAGAGAGGUGAGUGGAAUUCCCAGUGUAGAGGUGAAAUUCGUAGAUAUUGGGAAGAACACCGGUGGCGAAGGCGACUAACUGGACAAGUAUUGACGCUGAGGUACGAAAGCGUGGGGAGCAAACAGG